rnacentral:rRNA from 1 species
AUUGAACGCUGGCGGCAGGCCUAACACAUGCAAGUCGAGCGGAUGGAGGGAGCUUGCUCCUGGAUUCAGCGGCGGACGGGUGAGUAAUGCCUAGGAAUCUGCCUGGUAGUGGGGGAUAACGCCCGGAAACGGGCGCUAAUACCGCAUACGUCCUGAGGGAGAAAGUGGGGGAUCUUCGGACCUCACGCUAUCAGAUGAGCCUAGGUCGGAUUAGCUAGUUGGUGGGGUAAAGGCCUACCAAGGCGACGAUCCGUAACUGGUCUGAGAGGAUGAUCAGUCACACUGGAACUGAGACACGGUCCAGACUCCUACGGGAGGCAGCAGUGGGGAAUAUUGGACAAUGGGCGAAAGCCUGAUCCAGCCAUGCCGCGUGUGUGAAGAAGGUCUUCGGAUUGUAAAGCACUUUAAGUUGGGAGGAAGGGCAGUAAGUUAAUACCUUGCUGUUUUGACGUUACCAACAGAAUAAGCACCGGCUAACUUCGUG